GCCACGUGGGUGGCUGAGCCGUUUAGUCCCGGUUGGUGAUCGAUCUUUAGUCCCGGUUAUUUCACCCGCGGAUUCGUAGUCCCGGUUGGACAACCGGGACUAAAGGGGUUACCAACCGGGAGUACAAACGGUUUCUCCACCAGUGAG
rnacentral:misc_RNA from 1 species